rnacentral:rRNA from 1 species
UACGGGGGGUGCAAGCGUUAUCCGGAUUCACUGGGUUUAAAGGGUGCGUAGGCGGCUUGAUAAGUCAGUGGUGAAAGCCCGCAGCUUAACUGCGGAAUUGCCAUUGAAACUGCCAAGCUUGAAUCUGGUUGAAGUGGGCGGAAUAUAUCAUGUAGCGGUGAAAUGCUUAGAUAUGAUGUAGAACACCGAUUGCGAAGGCAGCUCACUAAGCCAACAUUGACGCUGAGGCACGAAAGCCAGGGGAGCGAACGGG